rnacentral:rRNA from 1 species
GAUGAACGCUGGCGGCGUGCCUAAUACAUGCAAGUCGAGCGAACAGACGAGGAGCUUGCUCCUCUGACGUUAGCGGCGGACGGGUGAGUAACACGUGGAUAACCUACCUAUAAGACUGGGAUAACUUCGGGAAACCGGAGCUAAUACCGGAUAAUAUAUUGAACCGCAUGGUUCAAUAGUGAAAGACGGUUUUGCUGUCACUUAUAGAUGGAUCCGCGCCGCAUUAGCUAGUUGGUAAGGUAACGGCUUACCAAGGCAACGAUGCGUAGCCGACCUGAGAGGGUGAUCGGCCACACUGGAACUGAGACACGGUCCAGACGCCUACGGGAGGCAGCAGUAGGGAACGGUACGCAAUGGGCGAAAGCAUGACGGAGCAACGCCGCGUGAGUGAUGAAGGUCUUCGGAUCGGAAAGCUCUGUUAUUAGGUAAGAACAAAUUUGUAAGUAACUAUGCACGUCUUGACGGUACCUAAUCAGAAAGCCACGGCUAACUACGUG